rnacentral:misc_RNA from 1 species
GAAAAAGGUAUCCUCCUAUAAGAAUACCAAAGAAUUUGCAUGACCAUUGGGAAGAGAUUUUGAGAUCUCAUUUGAUAGAAUCAUCACGUCUGAUUAUAGUAAAUGGGUGGUCAGGUUGAUAAUGACCUGUUUUUUGAAUUUUUUUUUUCCUUAUUUUCAUUACAAGUUUGCUUCAGUAGCUGGUUAUGUUAAUAGGAUAUGCUGUUCCUGUAGUAGAUUAUGUGGAGAAACAAACUUCUAUCCAAACAACAAAAU